rnacentral:rRNA from 1 species
AUUGAACGCUGGCGGCAGGCCUAACACAUGCAAGUCGAGCGGAUGAAGGGAGCUUGCUCCUGGAUUCAGCGGCGGACGGGUGAGUAAUGCCUAGGAAUCUGCCUGGUAGUGGGGGAUAACGUCCGGAAACGGGCGCUAAUACCGCAUACGUCCUGAGGGAGAAAGUGGGGGAUCUUCGGACCUCACGCUAUCAGAUGAGCCUAGGUCGGAUUAGCUAGUUGGUGGGGUAAAGGCCUACCAAGGCGACGAUCCGUAACUGGUCUGAGAGGAUGAUCAGUCACACUGGAACUGAGACACGGUCCAGACUCCUACAGGAGGCAGCAGUGGGGAAUAUUGGACAAUGGGCGAAAGCCUGAUACAGCCAUGCCGCGUGUGUGAAGAAGGUCUUCGGAUUGUAAAGCACUUUAAGUUGGGAGGAAGGGCAGUAAGUUAAUACCUUGCUGUUUUGACGUUACCAACAGAAUAAGCACCGGCUAACUUCGUG